rnacentral:rRNA from 1 species
GGCUUGCGGCAGCUACCAUGCAGUCGAGCGGUAACAGAUCCAGCUUGCUGGAUGCUGACGAGCGGCGGACGGGUGAGUAAUGCAUAGGAAUCUGCCCGAUAGUGGGGGAUAACCUGGGGAAACCCAGGCUAAUACCGCAUACGUCCUACGGGAGAAAGGGGGCUUCGGCUCCCGCUAUCGGAUGAGCCUAUGUCGGAUUAGCUAGUUGGUGAGGUAACGGCUCACCAAGGCCACGAUCCGUAGCUGGUCUGAGAGGAUGAUCAGCCACAUCGGGACUGAGACACGGCCCGAACUCCUACGGGAGGCAGCAGUGGGGAAUAUUGGACAAUGGGGGGAACCCUGAUCCAGCCAUGCCGCGUGUGUGAAGAAGGCCCUCGGGUUGUAAAGCACUUUCAGCGAGGAAGAACGCCUAGCGGUUAAUACCCGCUAGGAAAGACAUCACUCGCAGAAGAAGCACCGGCUAACUCCGUGCCAGCAGCCGCGGUAAUACGGAGGGUGCAAGCGUUAAUCGGAAUUACUGGGCGUAAAGCGCGCGUAGGUGGCUUGAUAAGCCGGUUGUGAAAGCCCCGGGCUCAACCUGGGAACGGCAUCCGGAACUGUCAAGCUAGAGUGCAGGAGAGGAAGGUAGAAUUCCCGGUGUAGCGGUGAAAUGCGUAGAGAUCGGGAGGAAUACCAGUGGCGAAGGCGGCCUUCUGGACUGACACUGACACUGAGGUGCGAAAGCGUGGGUAGCAAACAGGAUUAGUUCC